UACGGAGGGUGCAAGCGUUAUCCGGAUUCACUGGGUUUAAAGGGUGCGUAGGUGGGUUGGUAAGUCAGUGGUGAAAUCCCCGAGCUUAACUCGGGAACUGCCAUUGAUACUAUUAGUCUUGAAUAUUGUUGAGGUAGGCGGAACGGGUCAUGUAGCGGUGAAAUGCAUAGAUAUGACCCGGAACACCGAUUGCGAAGGCAGCCUACUAAGCAAUUAUUGACGCUGAGGCACGAAAGCGUGGGGAUCAAACAGG
rnacentral:rRNA from 1 species